AUAACGACUCUCGGCAACGGAUAUCUCGGCUCUCGCAUCGAUGAAGAACGUAGCGAAAUGCGAUACUUGGUGUGAAUUGCAGAAUCCCGUGAACCAUCGAAGUCUUUGAACGCAAGUUGCGCCCGAAGCCAUUUGGCCGAGGGCACGUCUGCCUGGGCGUCACGC
rnacentral:rRNA from 1 species